AAUUUAUAGUUCAGAAUUUUCGCGCUCAGGUUAGAGAGACUCUUGGAUACUCUGUAGGCUGCUGAUUAGUGUGCUCAACUGUGUUCAAGGCCUGCGGCUGGAACCCCCCCCCCCCAUUCCCGAGUAUCCAGCAAUUGCCUAAUGCAACAAAUAGAUACCACAUGUAUCAGAGAAGAUAAAGAUGUUGGAAGCUCACCCCUACUACUAAAACACCAGACACAGAUAAUUUACUACUGCUACCGUUCAACCACACGCCAUGAUGGCCACCUGGACUCGUUCUCCUUCCUCCUAGUCAGUUGGUGUUUUCGCUCUCAGUUGGACAGGAACUCGCCAUUAUGGAUCCUGUCCACCGUGAGGUCCUGGACGUCAACCACAACUACCUGGUGGAGCGUGUCUGUGCUGCACAUGUCUUGCCACGCCUCGUCAGAGACGACAUCGUCAAUGACGACGAUGUCAAGCAGCUGCAAAGGACGGAAGGACAAGGGCCUCGAGCCGUUAACCGCUUGAUGCUGCUGACACUUCGCCGCAGAGGCAGCUGUGCGUACGCGGCCUUGCACCGUGCCCUCCGAGACGCGGGGUUAGAUGACGUGUGCGACACUUUGCUGGACACCGAGCUCGCUCUUCGGGAGGGUCUUGCAGCCGACAGGAUCGGAUCCAUGGAAAGAAGCUCGUAACCUUGGAAACAGAUGCCCAGAUACCAAAUGACAUGAAGGUGGCCGCCACAACAAAAGUCGAGAGUCCCUCGCCGAGCGCAAGUUCCGAGAGCAGACUGGAUCCACCCGUGGACAGUCAGCAGGCACCUGAGUCAGCAGGUACCCCAGUCAGCAGGUCCCCGAGUCAGCAGGUACCCGAGUCAGCCGUCUCCCCUGUCAACUCACAGGAAGAUGUGGAGAGAGACCAGCGAAUCCGAGACCUGGAACAGGAAGUCAACAAGCUGCGACUCACUCACGACACGAUGGAAGCGGAAUUUAAAAAGCAACUGGAAAAACUUGAGCAAGGACAAAAUGAAAAAGGAAAAGGUGGAGGUUGUUUGGUCAUGUGACAACAUUUUGCUAUCAUUUUGCCACAGGAUGUUUGCUACCUCCAGUGUAAUUGUGCGACCGACGGGUAUGUUCUUACUAAAGUGUGAUUUGAUGAAUCUUCCUUUAAAAUGUAGAAGUGGCCACCAGAAUACAAACAUUUCUUCUUCAGAAAAUUGUUCUUGGAGACAACAUGUGUGUGAAGAGGACUUUACUGAGAACUUACAUUUUCAACGGACUGCUCUACUGUGAUCACGUGACCCAGGAAACCCGCCUCUGGGGCUGGCACGUCGGCUUGGUUGGCGCAUGCGCUUUGACAGAUCUGGCCAAAAAUUGAUUGACUUUCGCCAUAAAUAAGCAGUUUUUCUUUCAACCGAAAUUCUCUUGAGAACAAAGUGUGCAUAGAACGCCAGAAUUCAAUUUAUUGGUCAGAUUGGCCUCUGCUCGUGUGCAGACCUCGCAGUCGCGUGUUUGUGAUCUCGCGACAAUCACGUGACCUAGACGGGACGUCUGACGAGGACGAGAAGAAAAAAAGUGAGGACGGGAGAGGUUCAGUUGAUUCCCCUUCUUUCUCACAUGUGCAUUCAUGGAUUAAUUACCACGGGAACAAAGUCUCAUAUGUGUUCGUGUGUGUGUGUGAUUGCAUGCCCGUGCUCACACAUAUACACAUGCGCACACACACACACACGCAGAUGCAUAAUUGGAUUGCAUCGGUGAUGGCAUUUUGAUCCUCAUGGGAUCUCGCUUCCAAAAAAAAAAUGUUCACUAAUAUAUAAGCGUAUGACAUCUAUCCUGAAUUAUUUUUUAAUGGGAUGUAUGGCGCUGCCUCACACACAUUCUAAGAGCGACAAGAAUCUUAAACUGUUCCCAAGGUCCACACCUAUCCGCCUGCCAUUUUGCCAUUACCAUGCCGCAGACGUGUUGCCAUUGUGGAAGCCUGUGUUCUAUGCUUCUAAAGUUCCUGGAUUUUUGUGGUUUUUUUUUUGUUUUUGUUUGUUUCUUCCCCAUCAACACUGACUGCAGCUUUCAGGCAGCCUCGCCUCCGGCGAACUUGCUUUGUUUUGCCGUGCACAGCGUUUACCUCCUCCAUUCAUGUUUCAGGUUCAUUAAGCUGGCAUCAUACGGUUCGAGCCGUUGGAGGGAAAUAAGCAAGAGGCAAGUGCGAAGAAAUGACGAAACAUUUUCAUAAGAAACGUCUGCGACGACAGUUUUUCCCACAAUCCCCUCCUCUUAACUGCACCAAGGAGGACGUACAGGGCGGGGAAGCCUUUGUCGUGGAUUUGAGAAAAUUUUCAUAACUGCUCUCUGGCCGCAUAUUUCAUCCGCAUUAAUCAGAUCGUGUGAAGGUGGCUUUACCCAUGGCCGAUCCAGUGAAUUCUGUAGUGAGUGAAAUAGUUGGAUGUGAAGAAUAUUGCAUCCUUCAAGCCCUCCGUACAAUGAAACCUCAUUAUUCUGAGGAUGUUGUGUAUUCAUUAGGUACUAGACAUACUUGAUAGUAAUAUAUUAUUUUAUUAUUAUUAUUAUUAUUAUUAUUAUUAUUAUUAUUAAAGAGAAAGACUUUGGCUAUAGGUCUGGACAAAGAACUGAACAGAUCAUCGAAGAAGAGUUUACGUUCAUCGAAAAAGAAAUAUAAUAAUCGCCUUAGCUCGAGUGGAUUUCUGCCGCUGACUCUUCCAUCUGUGAUUUGUAUUAUUGUGUUUCGAUCUGCCGCUUCAUUUGAGUUAUUAAUGCAUGCGGCAAAACACUGAAACAUGUGUAGCUUGAGGCUCCUUUUAGCUUGACAUGUUGACGCCUCAUGUCCAGAAACAGUCUGAAAGGGUAUUUUGAGUGAUAGGGGAGAUAAAAAAUGUGGAGGCGCCAGCAACUCACUCCCCACAUCCCUCCUUCUCUGUUAUCUCUGUCUUUUUCUCUACAGUUCUGCCUCCUGCUGGCUUCUUUCGUCUCUCACUACCACCCCUGUCUCCAGGCCAUUCCACCUCCCUCUCUGUCGUCCACUCCCUUAGAAUACUUUCUCAAAUUACCACGUUGUCAAAGCUUCUUCUGCAAUGUACAUGGCAAUGCUUCUGCGUUCUUAUUUAUCCAUUCAGAGCCACCAGAAACAUCAUUUAUCAGAGAAUAUCAGCAUUAAAAAAGUAAAAAUACUCCGUAAAACGUUCACAACCCAAAUAUACCCCAAGACUCUCUUGUAGACAAAAAUAAUGUUUCUUGCCAAAUUUGGUGAGGACUACAUUGGCUUUUACAUAAUUUUCCAAGAAGAAGAGCCCCAACCAACUCCCACACACAAAUUUUACCACAAUAUGUAAUAUAAUCGCCUGGUUUAUACCUCCCUCUCUGGAGUUCAAUGCACUAUUCGUCGAGUCUCGGAAGUUUGCGUGUCCUCUGUCAUCCGGUCACCAACCAGUCACCACUGCAACUUCUCAUACCCAUCAUCCGGGCAUCGCCAGAGAGGAAAAGCAUCGUCGCGUGAUGUGAAUGCUUUCCGCUUACCUCGGCCGUCUCGUCAGAUGAUCCUCUUGUUGAAGGUUAGGCGGACCUCAAACCCUCCCACCUCCAUGGUGUCAGCCAUUUUUACUCUCCCACCAUCAGCUUCUGACUCAAAUUUCGUGGGUGGGAGAAAUAGGAUGUUGGUAGUCUUUGCAGCAAUCUUCUUCCCUCCCCUUUUGUAUAUGUUCAUCUGCUUCGCUUUUCCAAACCCUGCACUCAAGAGGGUUGAAGGAAGGGAGGAAAGUGAAAGAAAAGGAGAAGAGAGGUGAAAUUCCUACUCAAAGGUCGGCGCGAGCUGUGGUGAGGGAAAUAUCGCAGGCGGUGUCCGCUUUUGUAAAUUUUGCUGACAUUUUGUGAUAGAAGACGGUGGUGAAAGGGCACUGGACAGCUUGAGAAGCAAUCGGCCCCCAAACAAACGAUCGUGUUUUUCAGAGUUUGAAAUGUGCUGCUGUCUGAUAUUUCCACUUCUUAUCUGUUCUCCCGAUUUCGACCGCCCAUUGCUUGCAGUGGCAGAGAAUUUGUGUGAGUGAAACUUAUGUAAAAAUUUACACAAACACAAUCAAUAAUCAGAUUCGCGGGGAGGGAGAGAGAGAGACCUUUUUCCUCCCCUCAUCAGAGUGUGAUUGCCCAGCCCGAAGGUGACGGGGUAUGGAUUUUCCUUGGGUUUUUCAUACUUUUUUCUUCUUCUUUCUUCUAACAAGACUGAUAUGAGCAUGAAAAAAUUCGAUGCAGUGCGCAUGGGCGAGAUACUGCGCCGGAAGUGAGACCGAGAUGCGGUGGAACAAACACAGGAAGUGCAUUCGGUCAUCGUUUCAUCACGGCGGCAGGUCGGUGAAGGCAGUGAAGAUUAAUUCAUCACUGGAAGGGUGAAGGGCGGAGCAGGAGACAGGCUACUGAGGCAGCUGUGCAGACUACGAAGAAAAACUUCGCCUUGUAAGACGUGAACCGUUGCCAGGAUGACCUUUGUGACAGCUUGUCAUCCGGGCACCUGCUGCACGGGCGCUCAAAGACUUUCAUGCAGUUCCUGAGGAGAUUGGACUUGGCGUUUGUGCACUCAAGAGCAGUAAACCUUACAGCUGUUUACACAAGUUUCUUUUUUUUCUUUUCUUUUGAUUCAUCAUCCUCAUCAUUUCAUUCUCGUCGUCAUUAUCAUUGUAAUCGUCACCAUGAUCCCAUGCGCUUUCAUUCCUCUUUCUCUCUUUCUCUUUCACACACAAACACGCAAGCACCUACAUAUCAAAACAAGCAAACAUACAAAUAUGAAACUUUCCUCUCCACCUCACACAUGGAAGCGCACACACAAACACACACACGUGCAAAAUAAAUAUGACAUUCAUAUUCAUACACAAACCUAUUCAGAAGCAUAGGGACGCUCAUACAAAUUCGUUUAGUGUCGACAAUCAGUUCUGAGUCCCCUGGUUAUGUGUGUUUGUGUCAUCUGAUUAUCUGUUAAUGCGUGCUGGAGAUGGCGAAUUUCCGUCAAUCGUUCUUUUCAGUAAAAAAAAAAA
rnacentral:lncRNA from 1 species